rnacentral:rRNA from 1 species
AUUGAACGCUGGCGGCAUGCCUUACACAUGCAAGUCGAACGGCAGCGGGCCCUUCGGGGUGCCGGCGAGUGGCGAACGGGUGAGUAAUGCAUCGGAACGUACCCGGGAGAGGGGGAUAACCGGCCGAAAGGCUGGCUAAUACCGCAUGAACUCGGAAGAGCAAAGCGGGGGACCUUCGGGCCUCGCGCUCUCGGAGCGGCCGAUGUCCGAUUAGGCUAGUUGGUGGGGUAAAGGCCCACCAAGGCGACGAUCGGUAGCGGGUCUGAGAGGACGAUCCGCCACCCUGGGACUGAGACACGGCCCAGACUCCUACGGGAGGCAGCAGUGGGGAAUCUUGGACAAUGGGCGCAAGCCUGAUCCAGCAAUGCCGCGUGGGUGAAGAAGGCCUUCGGGUUGUAAAGCCCUUUCGGCGGGGAAGAAAUCGGUCAGGCGAAUAGUCUGGCCGGAUGACGGUACCCGCAGAAGAAGCACCGGCUAACUACGUG